rnacentral:rRNA from 1 species
AUUGAACGCUGGCGGCAGGCCUAACACAUGCAAGUCGAGCGAGCGGCGGACGGGUGAGUAAUGUCUAGGAAACUGCCUGAUGGAGGGGGAUACCUACUGGAAACGGUAGCUAAUACCGCAUCCCAUCCGAUGUCCCCAGAUGGGAUUAGCGAGUAGGUGUGGUAACGGCUCACCUAGGCUACGAUCCCUAGCUGGACGGAGAGGCUGACCAGCGACACAGGAACUGAGACACGGUCCAGACGCCGACGGUAGGAAGAAGUGGGGAAUAUUGCACAAUGGUCGCAAGCCUGAUGAAGCCAUGCCGCGUGUGUGAAGAAGGCCUUCGGGUUGUAAAGCACUUUCAGCGGGGAGGCGUUACCCGCAGAAGAAGCACCGGCUAACUCCGUGCCAGCCGCCGCGGUAAUAC